GCACGUGAGGGUGAUCUGAUGUGACAUCUGUCACCCCGUGCAUCGCCAGGGUUGACUCAGCUGAUCUGGCUGGCUAGGCUGGUGUCCCAGUCCUCCCUCACUGCUCCGUGUGCAUCACCCCCAAGAGUUGUACUUCCCCAAAUAGAGGAGGACCAGUCUUUAAGGGCACACAAGCAGCUGUACUCUCAUGCUGGAACCACCGAAGAAGCUCUCAAAUAAAGAAGAGCAAAUGAUCAGUAUGUGGACAGACACUCACUACCUUGAGCCAUCAGGGAAACGCAAGGGAAAACUACAUGAAGACCCCAUCU
rfam:Mesocricetus auratus contig126142, whole genome shotgun sequence.